rnacentral:lncRNA from 1 species
ACUUCUGUUUCUUUCUUUCUUUUUCCAUCUUCCGAGAGCAAGGCACUCCGGGUCGAGGCUCACGCGAGUAUUUUGGAGUGGUGUGUGUUUCAGUUGGCUGAGGCGAGGAUUAGGACGAGAGGUUAGAUAAGGGGAGAUUAUCUUUGUCAGCUGAGGCCUCACAUAUGAAUUGCAAACAAAAGUUUUAGCAGACUGUGACCAGUGUACUGUAUCACAUGAUGCUUAUGCUUUUCACUGUUCGAAAUAACACUACCACGAAAAACUUAUAUAUCUAGAUAUAAAACAUGGUUUUCUGACGUAUUGUAUCACAUCACCAAAUAAUCCUCUAAAAAAAACCCAUGACACCAGGCAUACUUCACCAGAGUCACAUGAGUGUUUGCAUUGUGUAAUAUCCUCCCUCCGCCGAGCCUCCCAGCCACUAACUUUUUACAUUUUUCUCCCCGCUGGCCUCUCGAGAAUUCAGCUGCCAGUGGUACCUUGUUGUGGCAAAUUAGAGCUAACUGGUGGGAAGUGGCUACUGAUUCUCUCUCUCUCUCUCUCUCUCACACACACACCGUCUCUGGGAGCCUCGCACAGGAUCUGGGACUCUGGAAGAAAUAGCGACAAACGAGAAGGAGAUCGGGAGCUGCCUCACUCCAGAGCCUUUUCUCUGCUGAAGUCUAGGAUGGCCACUUGUGGGUCCUGUUUCUGGUGCAUUGUCUGGCUCGUGGUUCUGCUGUGCAUCGGCUGGCCCCUCGGCAUCGCCCUAGGUGGUCUCUAUGGCCAACCUGGGCCGAACCUGUGCCAAUAACAUGAGGCACAGCAAGCCCUUGUGUUGAGGCCUGGCUCGAUUGGUGCUUUUUCUACGGAGGAAAUCCUUCACGUGGGGGAGAACUGUUCUCAUCUGGUUAUUGUGGAGACGUCCUGAGAUGAUCUGCACUCAGCACA